rnacentral:rRNA from 1 species
UAGUCCACGCCGUAAACGAUGAAUGCUAGACGUCAGGGAGCAUGCUCUUUGGUGUCGCAGCUAACGCAUUAAGCAUUCCGCCUGGGGAGUACGGUCGCAAGAUUAAAACUCUAAGGAAUUGACGGGGGCCCGCACAAGCGGUGGAGCAUGUGGUUUAAUUCGAAGCAACGCGCAGAACCUUACCAACCCUUGACAUCCUGUGCUAAUCCCAGAGAUGGGACGUCCACUUCGGUGGCGCAGUGACAGGUGCUGCAUGGCUGUCGUCAGCUCGUGCCGUGAGAUGUUCGGUUAAGUCCGGCAACGAGCGCAACCCACAUCUUUAGUUGCCAGCAGUUCGGCUGGGCACUCUAAAGAAACUGCCCGUGAUAAGCGGGAGGAAGGUGUGGAUGACGUCAAGUCCUCAUGGCCCUUACGGGUUGGGCUACACACGUGCUACAAUGGUAGUGACAAUGGGUUAAUCCCAAAAAGCUAUCUCAGUUCGGAUUGGGGU